GUGGGCGGGGCGGGCUCGGCUCCCGGAGUGGCGUGAAAAAUUUCCCGAGGCAGAGCGAAAAGUCUUCAUGCGUUACUGAGCAUGUCCGGUGCCCGAAGGGGCGCUUUGGACGCCAGUGAAGCGAGGAGAGGCGGAGAAGGAACCGAGCGGGCAGUUGAGGGAAAUCUCGGAGGAGGUUACCUGCGAUCAAACUGGGGCUGCGUAGUGUUAGGGUCAGGCAGCUUUGAAGUGGAAUCCGGAUCCGCCACUCUCGCUGCGUGAUAUUGGGCAUGCCAUCAAAGCGCUCUCAACCGAACGUCUCGGGUAAAAUGGGAUUAGUGAAGUCUACCAAGGUAGUUGUGAGGAUCAAAAGAGAUAACGCGGAAAACGCCUCACCUGGCACGUUAUAGAUCCUAAAUGCCUAGCUAUUAUUAUGGAGCCCACAACCUCCAUAUUUUACAACUGGGAACACGGGACUCAAAGAGAUUAAAAAACUAAAUGACUCACUCAAGGUCAGGUAGUGGUGGAGACCCAGGCUUCAAGUUCAAUACUCUUUGUCCUACAAAGCCUUCCCUUAAGCAGGGGUAAUAAAACAUUUCAGAAAAACCACCUUAAAGAGCAUCGCUUGUGAUCUGUGGAUCACUUGGUAGUCCCCACCUCCCUCCCAUCCCCGCAAAGGUUUAGAGCUGGACAUAAGGGCCUUGGUGCAACUUUUGGAGGGCAGUUGUUCAGCUUCUGAAUUUGCAUCUGAACGAGCAAUAAGGGAAUUUUCUGGGAAGUUAAGAAUUUCCAAUAAAUCUUGGACUACUCUAAAAUGCACCAGAAAUUACGUGGUCACACUCGUGCAGUGAAAGAAGGCUUUGGCAGUAGCAUAAGACAUUAAGCAGAAGUAGGAAAUGCAGUGAGGAAGAAGUUGUAAUGUUUUCAACAGCUGCCACUAUGGAUCUAGGAUGAGAGCUUUCCACAUGUUGUUAAGAAUGAGAGACAGAUUACU
rnacentral:lncRNA from 1 species